AAUCCAUAGGUUAAUGAGGCGAACCGGGGGAACUGAAACAUCUAAGUACCCCGAGGAAAAGAAAUCAACCGAGAUUCCCCCAGUAGCGGCGAGCGAACGGGGAGGAGCCCAGAGCCUGAAUCAGCAUGUGUGUUAGUGGAAGCGUCUGGAAAGGCGCGCGAUACAGGGUGACAGCCCCGUACACAAAAGCGCAUGUGCUGUGAGCUCGAUGAGUAGGGCGGGACACGUGGUAUCCUGUCUGAAUAUGGGGGGACCAUCCUCCAAGGCUAAAUACUCCUGACUGACCGAUAGUGAACCAGUACCGUGAGGGAAAGGCGAAAAGAACCCCGGCGAGGGGAGUGAAAAAGAACCUGAAACCGUGUACGUACAAGCAGUGGGAGCACAGGUUUACCUGUGUGACUGCGUACCUUUUGUAUAAUGGGUCAGCGACUUAUAUUCUGUAGCAAGGUUAACCGAAUAGGGGAGCCGGAGGGAAACCGAGUCUUAAUUGGGCGUUAAGUUGCAGGGUAUAGACCCGAAACCCGGUGAUCUAGCCAUGGGCAGGUUGAAGGUUGGGUAACACUAACUGGAGGACCGAACCGACUA
rnacentral:rRNA from 1 species